rnacentral:tRNA from 1 species
CAAGGCCUACGCGGGCGAGUGAGCCGCGAGCGGGCUCGGAUCCCGGGGUUCGGAUCCCCUGGGUUCGGAUCCCCGGGGUUCGGAUCCCCUGGGCUCGG